rnacentral:lncRNA from 1 species
GAGAUUUUAGAGGAAGAAUGCAGUGACAUGAGACCAGAAUGAUGUGAGGUGAUGACAUCAACAUCAGAAUGCUGUUGCUAAGGAAACUCCAGCACCUCCUAGAACGUCUUUUGUGGAAUGGCACUUCACCGGGGCCCUUGGAUCACGUGCCACAUGUAUUCAAC